GUGAAACUCCAGAAUUUCAAAAAUGGAAACAAAAAUAUUAAAAUCAGUUUAAAAGGCUGUUUACCUACAAAGAAAUAACAGACUAAUAACAGUGUCAGAAGAAAAUCAGGAUAUCUUUAUUGUGCUAACAAAAGGAGAUGCCUGGCUAGAACCUUAUAUCCAGUGAAAUGAUCUUUUAAGAAUGAGGCAAAUAGAGACACAUCUAGACAAGCAAGUUUGUCCCUAGCAAAACCUUGCUAGCAAACUAUAAACACGCCAUUUCACUUUAAGUGCCUACGAAGCCCUCUCCUCCAAAUGCUGUGUAAAUAGUUGAAAAUAAAGCCCGAAACCUCUCUGUAAACAUACAGGAAAUCAGUAGAAGAUUCAUUAAGGCGCAGUAUCCAAGGGCAUCAGAGAUUCUUACUUCUCUCAUAACUUUCAAAGAAAAAGAGGAAGGAAGGAAGGAAGGAAGGAAGGAAGGAAGGAAGGAAGGAAAGAAAGAAGAAGAAGAAGAAGAAGAAGAAGAAGAAGAAGAAGAAGAAGAAAGAAAGAAAGAAAAAAAGAAAUGCAUCCUUUAAGGUGAGUAAUUAUAAAUAACAAGAUUUCUAAGAUUUACAAGUGAAAUUACUGAACUAAUGUUUAGUAAAAUGUGCCCUUCAGCAAAGAUGCAAUCAGCGUACUUUUG
rnacentral:lncRNA from 1 species